AUUGGCUUGGUUUUUAUUUCUAUGCUUAUAAAAAAAAUAUGAAGCUUCUUUGUGUGGACUGAAGGGGUGUUAGCCUGUGGAUGUUGGUCUUCGGUGCCUGUACCCCAGUGGCUGUUUACAUUCCAGGCCCCUGCUAAAUAAAGCAGGCUCCACUGC
rnacentral:lncRNA from 1 species